rnacentral:tRNA from 1 species
GUAGUCGUGGUUCAGUGGUAGAACUCUCUCCUUUCAUUCAGGAAACCUGGGUUCAAUUCCCAGCCAACACA